UACGGGAGGCAGCAGUGGGGAAUAUUGCACAAUGGGCGCAAGCCUGAUGCAGCCAUGCCGCGUGUAUGAAGAAGGCCUUCGGGUUGUAAAGUACUUUCAGUCGUGAGGAGGUGUUAAGGUUAAUAACCUUAGCAAUUGACGUUAGCGACAGAAGAAGCACCGGCUAACUCCGUGCCAGCAGCCGCGGUAAUACGGAGGGUGCGAGCGUUAAUCGGAAUUACUGGGCGUAAAGGGCACGCAGGCGGUUAAUUAAGUUGGAUGUGAAAUCCCCGGGCUUAACCUGGGAAUGGCAUUCAAGACUGGUUAGCUAGAGUCUUGUAGAGGGGGUAGAAUUCCAUGUGUAGCGGUGAAAUGCGUAGAGAUGUGGAGGAAUACCGGUGGCGAAGGCGGCCCCUGGACAAAGGACUGACGCUCAUGUGCGAAAGCGUGGGGAGCGAAACAGGGAUUAGAUACC
rnacentral:rRNA from 1 species